GAUGAAGAACGCAGCGAAAUGCGAUACGUAAUGUGAAUUGCAGAAUUCAGUGAAUCAUCGAAUCUUUGAACGCAUAUUGCGCUCUCUGGUAUUCCGGAGAGCAUGCUUGUUUGAGUAUCAGUAAACACCUCAACUUCCAUAUCUUUUUUGAAAUGGGAGUUGGACUUGAGUGAUCCCAACGCUUUUCCUCACCGAAAAGUGGCGGGUUACUUGAAAUGCAGGUGCAGCUGGACUUUUCUCUGAGCUAUAAGCAUAUCUAUGUAGUCUGCCUAAAAAACAGAUUAUUACCUUUGCUGCAGCUAACAUAAAGGAGAUUAGUUCUUGUGCUGACUGAUGCAGGAUUCACAAAGACGGCUUCGGCCGACUUUGUAAACUCGAUCUCAAAUCAAGUAAGACUACCCGCUGAACUUAAGCAUAUCAAUAAGCGGAGGA
rnacentral:misc_RNA from 1 species